rnacentral:rRNA from 1 species
GAACGGGUGAGUAACACGUGGGUGAUCUGCCCUGCACUUUGGGAUAAGCCUGGGAAACUGGGUCUAAUACCGAAUAUGACCAUGCGCCUCCUGGUGUGUGGUGGAAAGCUUUUGCGGUGUGGGAUGGGCCCGCGGCCUAUCAGCUUGUUGGUGGGGUAAUGGCCUACCAAGGCGACGACGGGUAGCCGGCCUGAGAGGGUGACCGGCCACACUGGGACUGAGAUACGGCCCAGACUCCUACGGGAGGCAGCAGUGGGGAAUAUUGCACAAUGGGCGCAAGCCUGAUGCAGCGACGCCGCGUGAGGGAUGACGGCCUUCGGGUUGUAAACCUCUUUCAGCACAGACGAAGCGCAAGUGACGGUAUGUGCAGAAGAAGGACCGGCCAACUACGUGCCAGCAGCCGCGGUAAUACGUAGGGUCCGAGCGUUGUCCGGAAUUACUGGGCGUAAAGAGCUCGUAGGUGGUUUGUCGCGUUGUUCGUGAAAACUCACAGCUUAACUGUGGGCGUGCGGGCGAUACGGGCAGACUUGAGUACUGCAGGGGAGACUGGAAUUCCUGGUGUAGCGGUGGAAUGCGCAGAUAUCAGGAGGAACACCGGUGGCGAAGGCGGGUCUCUGGGCAGUAACUGACGCUGAGGAGCGAAAGCGUGGGGAGCGAACAGGAUUAGAUACCCUGGUAGUCCACGCCGUAAACGGUGGGUACUAGGUGUGGGUUUCCUUCCUUGGGAUCCGUGCCGUAGCUAACGCAUUAAGUACCCCGCCUGGGGAGUACGGCCGCAAGGCUAAAACUCAAAGAAAUUGACGGGGGCCCGCACAAGCGGCGGAGCAUGUGGAUUAAUUCGAUGCAACGCGAAGAACCUUACCUGGGUUUGA